rnacentral:ncRNA from 1 species
UAUCUUUGCACACGAAUUGAGAGAAUCUCGAUUCAUACAUAAUAAUCAUUAAAAAUAAUAUUGGAAUG